CUUUAUUUUCUUUAUUUAUUUAUUUAUUUUUUUUUUUUUUCUAGUGAAACGAAAGCAGAUUGAAUAUAAAUGAGCAUACACGGUCUUGUAUCACGUGACAUUUUUAUUCGAACGUGUUUUUAUCAGGUUAAGUACAUAGUUCCAAGCUUAUUGUGUUUGACCAUCACGCACGGUUUCACGGCACGCCACGCCAGACGAUAUACGCGUCGCGAUAAACGAUAUAUCGCUUCCCGAUGUUCGGGAUGAAAAACUGCAGUGCACUUCUGACGGGCGCCACUCUCGACGAGAGACUCUCCACGGUCGCGAUAUUAUAUUCAGAGUGUUGAGAAGGCACGGAGCGGGGAUCUUUGUCCGUCGGAGGACGAUGCGUAUUGUUUUUCCGGGGACACGAGCACGAGCAUUAAAUCGAAUAUCUUCCAGCUAGAUUUCCCAAAGGGCCAUCCUCUCUCUCUCUCUCUCUCUCUUCUAUAUAUAUCUAUCUCUCGACGAAUCGAUAAAUUUCGAACGUGUCUCCUCCAAUUUGUCCCAUCUGUCUGUAAACCGAUAAACCAUACCAUCCCCAAUUGUUGUCAAAUUUUAUAAUGCCGCUGUAUCGACUAUGGAAAACGAGAGGAGGAACGGAGAGGAAGGGAGGAUAUUUCCGAGUCAAAAUCGGGAUCGGGGUCGGCUCGAACGAUUUAAACAUUAAUUGGGAAAUUCUUUAAAGGGGGGGAAUUCUGAAAAUUUGCCGGAUCCGCGCACUGGUCGCUCCUCCCCUCGCCCCUCGUGCUACAGGGAGGCCAGGAGCGGGCGAAGGAACCCGAACUUUCGACUUUAUGCUCGUUCACACCGCCCGCUCGGUGGCGCGGAAGGGAAU